rnacentral:rRNA from 1 species
UACGUAGGUGGCGAGCGUUAUCCGGAAUUACUGGGCGUAAAGCGUGCGCAGGCGGUGAUGUAAGUCAGUUGUGAAAUCCCCGGGCUCAACCUGGGAACUGCAUCUGUGACUGCAUCGCUGGAGUGCGGCAGAGGGGGAUGGAAUUCCGCGUGUAGCAGUGAAAUGCGUAGAUAUGCGGAGGAACACCGAUGGCGAAGGCAAUCCCCUGGGCCUGCACUGACGCUCAUGCACGAAAGCGUGGGGAGCAAACAGG